ensembl:misc_RNA Metazoa_SRP Metazoan signal recognition particle RNA
GCCGGGUGUGGUGGCGCACAUCUGUAUUCCCAGCCACUUGGGAGGCUGAGGCACGAGAAUUGCUUGAACCUGGGAGGUGGAGGUUGCAGUGAGCCAAGAUAACGCCACUGCACUUCAGCCUGGGUGACAAAGCAAGAUUCUGUCUCAA